UGCUGAUCUACUUGUUAGACUAUACAUCAACAGUUACAUCGAUCAUUUUACACACAAACUAAAAUGUAAAGAUUUUUGUUUAAGCAUGCACUAUGAAAUACACUUACUACUUGUGUAUAGUGCCAAUGCAGAGAAAAAAACAAAAUAAUGUGUGCAUUAAAUACAUUUUUGAUCUUUUUUUCUGCUAUUUUUUGAUCUUUUCUUCUGCUAUUUUAGGAAAAAUAAGUUAGAGCAUAUGUAAUCGCAGUUUCAGUCUGAUAUUUUUCUGUUUCUUUGUCUAAGAAAAUAGUGUUUUCUUUAUUCUAAGAAAUAGAACCCCAUAUUCUGUAGAAUUAUGUCAAUAAAAAGUGUCAAGUCAAUAACUGUUUGUAUCUUAAACCAAGUCAACUAUCAUAGAGAGGGUCAUUCAUCCUUACAUAAAAAUAUACAGCUUCAUAGAAUUCUUUUUAUGGCUUGUUAUAUUCUUGGUAAAAGGCUCAUCAUUCUGAUAUUUAUCUCCAGAUUUCUACAAAAUACAUUUAAUAAAGCAUUAUUUAACUGUGCAUGCAAGCUAUGAAAAUAAUCAUCAACCUGCAUGUUGUGGAGACUGUGUUAUUUCCAAGUUCCUCCAGAGGGCAAACACAAUUAUGUACUAAACUGUGAGUUGCAAAUUUCAUACCAGAAUAGCAGAACUGGAAAUUGUAUCUGAGUCAGUUGUGCUUCAAGCUCAUAUUUUUUUGGCCUUAAAUUAGUCUAUGGAGUUUCUUCCACAACAUUUGGUGUUUGGUAAAUAGACAUGAUUCACUGAUUAAGGUAUUUCUUUAUAUAAUGUAAGUGGACCUUUUUAGAAGGGUUCAGUGGAAAUUGGUCUUAGAAACAGAUCUACUAAUUGAAAAUCAAGUAUUCUGGUUCAGCAAACUUUUAAAAGAACGUAGAAUAUUUCCUGUAGAACGUGUGUAUGUUCAUAUAUCAUACAUUUAAAUAUAUAUUAAAAAAAAAUAUUUAAGAUAAGCUGCCUUUAGUUAAAUGAUAACUCAGGUCAUACAGGCAAACAGGAAAGACUUUUUCUAACUUCAUUGUAGCUCUGAGCAUUUUUUCUUCCAUGUUUUUUUUUUUCUUUCUUCAAUUUGAAAUCCCAUACGAUAUUAGAAGCCCAAUUACCUUUGGUAACAUUAAUGCUUUGUGGAUAAUUCCUCAAUAAUGAAUAUAUCACAUCUGAUGAUAUAUGGUCCUGGACUUAUUAAAUACUAUAAAUACAAGCUCUAAAAAAAAUCUAUAAUAAGAAAGCAAAUAUUUGUUUUAAUGCACUGGCAAUCUUUAAGCUUAUUUUUAUUUUCCUGUUAAUUGUAUGAAUGUAUUAUUCAUUUAGCAACCUGAACCAGAAAGUGAUUUCGCAUUUUAAUUUUAUUUUAAGGACAAAGAUUAUUAUUAUUAUUCUGUAGGAAAGGUGACUGCAUUAGUUUGUGAAGACAAAUAUUGAAUUUUUCCCACAUAGCUACUGCCCAAAUUUGUUGUUACAAUGGUCUUAAUGGGUAGUAAAAGUACCCAAUAUAAGGUUAACCCAAAAUACUUUAGUUAGAAUAUGUGCAGAUCAUUAUACAGAAUUCUAUGCGGCACUUCUGGUUAAUGAAAACAAUAGUACAGCACAUAAAUAUUUUGUAAAACUCUAUGCUAUAUUUAGCAGAGAGUGAUUUAGUUUUUGUUUUGUAGUCUGUAAGAGUCACAGUCCCAUUGUGUGUAUUCACUUUCUUCAGAGGUUCUUAUACCAUGUUACAUCAUGUUUUCUACAUUAUCUUAGACAGUUAUUGGGAAGUUCUGAAAUGUGCUUUUUCACCUCUUUCCUUGGAACACAGGCCAAUUGCAUACUUUCUACAGGCUUCUAAUGAAAUGCCUUUGAUGUUACAAAUUGUUGCUUGUAUACAGAUUAAAUUCUAGUAUGGUAGCAUGCUGCUAAAACGUCAUUAAGCAGGAAGCAGCAUGUAUUUUUAAUAUGAAAUGUAUUUAUAAAAAUAACCCAUGAGCACAAAUGGUAAUUUCCCCAUUUAUACUCUGAUUAACAUAUAGAACAUAGGGUUUAAUCAGUGCAUAAUCAAUUGCUACAGUUAGGCUAACAUAAUUAAGCUGGGAAAAUAUGAAUUGGGGAUUUUUUUUUACAUAUUGUCUAUUUUAGCUUGCAUUUUACAUAUCAUGUUUUCCUACCCACAAGAAUGCACUGCUUACGGUAUAAACUCCAGUGUAAUUUGUCUUACUGCUGUAAAAGUAUUCUGCAGCCUUAAAGGAACACUCUAAGCAGCAUAGCCGCUAAAGUGUAACAUAGUGUUUAUUGUGGCUUAAUAUGAGCCCCUGCUCCCCCCAUUGUAUGUAGUCAAACUAUCUUAUAACAGUUUUUCUUCAUAGCUAGGCACUGUAUUGGCUAAGAGUUAUCUCACUUCUAGCUGGAGUGGUGUCUGGCGAAACCCAAGUAAGUGAUUAAACUGUUUGUAAAUGGCUUGACUACUUACAUUUGUGGUGCACCAGGAAUUAUAACCACUAAAGCACUCUGUAGUGGUUAUGGUGUCUGGAGUGUUUCUUUAAAGGUUUACCCCAAGCAUCAUAGCUAUUACAGCAUGCUGUAGUGGUUAUGAUGCCAGGAGUACUAGUAACCCCUAGUCUCCUGCUUACUUGGUGAUGUGCCAAUCCCAUUGACAUUAAUUGCUGAUCACUAUCAGUCAAGGAAUGGCAUUCUUUGCAUAGAACUAUGCACAGUAUUGAUAUUAGACAACCAAGAAAUCUUGUUCUGGGCUAGCUAAUGAUACCCCAGUGACACUGCCCAAGGGGGAGUUACACUUUGGGCAACAAAGGGAUUAAGCUUAGUAUGUAUAGUGUUUCAAAGUUAAAGGGACACUAUAGUCACCAGAGCAACUACAGCUUAUUGUAUUUGUUCAAUUAUUUCUUUGCAGGUAGAAUGUUGUGUUAUUGUCUAAACUAGGAAUUGAGAACAUUUAAAAAUGAAAUUGAACAUUGUAGGUCAAAUAGCUGAUCUAAACAAAAGAAAUGUCCAAUUAUUUCUCCAGCUUUUGGUAUUUGCAAUUCUCUUAUUAGUUCUCUAUAAUUCCCGCUUUAGCAAAUAAUUGCAAAUGUCUGUAAACCACAACUUACUCUUAAAACCUUUUUCAAAGUUACACUAUAAUGCAUAUUUAUGUUGAACAUUCUUAUGAAUAAUUUUGAUGAAUUGUGCGUAAUUAUUUAAAAAUUGCCGAAAGUGCACCAAACAGUUAAAUACAGUCACAUUUAAUUCUUUAUUGGCUCCUGAUACACAUUUUACUUGAAUUAAGAUGUCUCUUUUAAAGGGAAACUCUAUAUCCAAAAAUGCAUAUUUUUAAUUGCUCUAUUAAUUGUUGCAAACAAGUAUGCAUUUACUAAAAUGUGUGCAAAUAUUUCCCAAGCCCUAAAAUUUACCUUUCAGGACUAAAUAAGAUCUGCCUCUUUUUGCCUAGCACUUACUUCCUUGUUUGGCUGGCACAUUGUCCAAUCAAAUGUUUCUCAUAGAAGACAAAUCGACAAAUCUCCCUUCCAAUGCUUCUCAAAGAGAUUGGUGGCUUUAUUGAGAUUUAAGGUUUUGAAUUAAAAUUCAUGCCACAGAACUUUAAUAGCUUGAGUUUUUAGAAAUAUUGAUUUUAUUGGAGUUGUGGAAAUCAACAACCACAUUGUUGACUCCUCUCCUUUUAUAUAUUUGCACCACUUUUUGGUAUUCAACACUUUUUAUAGAUAAUCCCUAUAUGUCUAUUGAAGUAAUGAUUUCUGUAUAUGGCUAUUGUGGACUCUAAUUCUCAUAAUGCUUAACCAACCACAGGACUUUGAAUUGUGCCUGUAGUUCUCCAUUUCUCCAACCACAGGAUGAGGCUGAUUGUUCACUCACUAUCCAUUUAUGCUCCUAUCAGCCUUAAUCAGAAACGCACUGAGAAUGUUAGGAGUUAUAGUCUAGCAGAGGCAGGCAACUACUUGCACUCGAUUUGCUAGUGCUUAUGUUUUUUUUUUAUCUUCUAACCUCGGAAGUGCAGAGGUAAAAAACAAGGACCAAUUUAUGAUGUUUCAUUUUCUUUGCAUGGAAGAUAGAGUUAAAUUGCCUGAUUUGCAGGUAGCAGGAGCUUUAACACAAUGUAUGUAACCACCUAGUCAUGGACAACCAGUGAAAGGUAUCUGGUAUUAGUAUGCUGUGUGUGCUGCCACGAAAAGCAAAGAUUGCGCAAAACUAAUGUGUCCAUGCAGGACAAGUUCAUUCCAUCUGAAUGAUUGACAGCCCAGAGAGGUGGCCCUAAAUGGAAGGGGAAAAAAAUAUUUUUCUCCAGAAUGAAACAUUUAAAUAAAAAAAAGGCUACUGGGACAGAAUCUUUGCACCAUUACCACUCAACUAAAAUUAAGUGAUUAUGGUGCUUAGGGCAACCCUUUGAACAAUAUGAUGUUUACUACAUUUUGGACAAAUAAAUACCUCUUAUGCCUUAAUGAGAAUGCCAUCUACACCAGUAUUGUACAGCGUUCUUCAACUCGGUUUUAUCAAAUAUGUUCAGGCGUUUGUCAAAAUGCAGGGUGGUGUCACUAUACACAACCUGUUUAUAUUUCAUUUUUAUUAGUUUGAUUAAUAAAUAAAUAUUUAAAGGGAUUAUAUUUACUUUUCAGAUUUGUUUUCUGAGAUAAGUACAGUUUGUACAUUAUCGGAUUUGCUGUAUUUUGUAUUUAACUUCUGCAGUUUAAUUUGAACUUUAUGAGUAAUAUAUACCAUUGUUAAAAAAUAAUAUAUACAAUUCCAGUAAAUGUUGCCUAUUCCUGAGUCCAGAAUUACUAACUAGUACUUGCCCCUUUAUCCCCUAAAAUAGUAAUAUAUCUCACGGACAUUAUUUUUGUUAAAUAGAAUCAUAGAGAUUUUUUUUUUUGUUAAUUUAUUGCAUCUAAUUAUUAAAUUAAUUUUUAUGUACAUAGUGAUAAGAAGUUAUUUUUCGUAUGUGUUCUGAAAUGUGAUUAUAUGGGGUACAGAAUGCCUAUUAAGAUGUAAAGUCCUUGGCAGAAUUUAGUAGAUUAAAUGUGUUCUCUGUUAAAAAUUGAUAAGUUCUCCUGAGCUUUAUUCCCCAAAAGUCAACUUUUAGCUUCUUAACUUGGUUGGUAAAAGCUUGGUUCAGCUUCAGUAAUUUCCAAGAUGUUCACAGUACUCUUCAAUAAUUUAGAGCUUAGCCCCAAAGCAAUGUGCAAUAGUGGAAAAUCUGCUGCAUUGGGACUUAUAGACAUAUGGUGGAGCAUAUCAGUUGCUCAGGUCAGCUGUCAGUGUAUUUUCAUUUAACUCCCGAGUAGUGUUUGUCCUAAACAUGGUUAACUAUGGAGUUCAAUUAAAUCUCUUUCAAAUUUAGUGACUGAGUUGAUAAUUCUCUGGGUUUGACAUCCUGUGCUAUUUUGGCCAUGCAUUUAUUCCAUAAACCCACUAAACCAAUGAUGGUUAACCAUCACCAUUCACUCGAGCUUGUGAAUUGCUAUUCCCCAAAAAACUAGAUGAUCAUAAUGGGAAAUGCCUACAACAACUAUCUCAGCCCUGGUCUUCUACCAAAUCAUCUAUGAUGAUUUGAUUUCCAUAGAUUUCUACUAUGAAUUUGGCAGGAUCCAAUCUGCCAAUGUGGUUUGAGAUCUAAAUGUGUUUGCAAAUUUCUGACUUGACAGUUGUCUGAAAUAUUCACUGCAUUGUCUGACAUUCAUCAACCCUACUACAUUUUGUUCCCUAGAAAUAUACUGUCACGUUCCUCAGAAUGAGGUGCCCAAUGUUAAAAUGGCUGUUACAUUCUGGGUCUAUUGCAGGUGCCGCUAUCUUUCAUCAGAUCCCGGUGCUUCCUCUGAUAGGAGCUUUCCGUCCUGCUAGACUCUCGCACAUACAUAAAGUACUACUCUUAGAUCUAUUGGGUAAAUUGUAAAACUGCAGAAUUCACCAUAAAACAGAUUUCAUGAUACGCCAGAAAAUGACUAUUUCCCACCGCUUUCAAAAAGGAUAUGGGAAUUGAUAAAACUCAAUGACAAUGCUGUCAAAUUUAAGGAACACAACACCUCCAUAACAAUGUCAGCUUAUAGACGUUGUUAUGGGCCAGUAGUGUUUGGGCCUCACCUUACCAUCAGGGGUUAAUCUGUGUUCCUCUCUCUUCCUCUCCAAAGUUGGCUCACAACUUUCCACCCAAUCACCGCAGUAUGAGGAAGGUUUGGCUGAAAAUAGUUAGGCUAUCACUGACUGUCAAUUAAGAGAAAUAUUUAUGUUGCAAAAUUGAAAUUGUAAAUUUUUUGCAAUACUUCUAUUUUCUUAACUUGGGCAGUGUCAUGUUAAUUAUUAACUAGACGUGUUAUUUGUAUUACUUAGAAAAUGUUUAUCUUUAGUUUCAACUUCUAAUUCUUCUGUUGAAAAAGAAGAGGGAGUUUAAAAAAGAUAUACACAAUUUCUCUGAACACAGAUAAGAAACAUGUUGUGUGGUUUCUGACUGAUAAAACAAUACAUUUGCUAUGGAGUAUACUGGAGUAUAUCAAUUAUUAAUUGUUGGUGUAAAUUCUUUUGUUGGGGUGAUAAAUCGCAAGUUUAAGCAUACUUAAGGAAUUUAAAAUUUAUUUAAAUUACUAGCCAUCCUAGAGAAUCCUCAACACUCAAAUGGAUUUUUAAAUCCCUCUGUUCUGGCCCUUUCUGCCUUAUUUUCAUCAUUAUAACUUUUAUUCUUUAGACAUUUUUAAUUACAGAUCCACAUAGCUCCAGUGUCAAAGUAACACAAUACUUUUAGAAUUAUUCACUAUAGUGAGGAUAGGUGGAAUUCAAAGUUAAUUCAGUACAUUUCAAAAUGUAGGCCUAACAUAACAACAUUCGUAAAACUUUUAGAAAAAAAGUAUGUUCUGUUUCCAGGUUGGCUAAUAAUUAUUUUAAUUCAGUUAUUUUUGUCUUAAACUUUGAAAUUUAUUUGAAAUUAGCUUUGGAUUCUGACACUUUUCACCUUAGUGAAUAACUAUAACCCAGUCAAAAGUUUUUCUGCUCUACAGAAACAAAAUACAAAUACCUGAUACUGAAGGACUUACUAAAUCAACAUUUGUUUUUCAAGAAGCACAGUUAAAAUAUGAAACAUUUUACAGGUAUAUAUCUGAAUAGUUAUCUUUGUAGACAGGAGUAUAAUCUGCUGACUGCUAUGCUUCUUUUUAUAGUAAAUACAAUUAAGACUAGAAUAUCUGAAUUGGAGGCCUCACAAUUUCAACAGGACAGUCUUGAUUUUUGUGUCCUGUCCUGACUUUAGCCAUUUUCAGUGAUUUCCGAUCUAAUGAUACACAUAACCUUGAAAAACACUGUGGGUCAUUAGAGCCACUGCGUUCUUCAAGGUUCUGUGUAUUUCCUAAACAUUAUCAUAGGUGCCAACAGUCCUGGGUUUGCUGGGGCGCUCCGACAUUUUGGAGUACUAUCACAGCAAAUAUAGGUCUCGGGGCCGGUCCUGCAUUUUGAAACUAGCAUGCAGAUUUCAAAAGGCAUAAGAUGACUGUGCACUACGACCACACACCAAGCACUUCAACAACGCUCUGUGCAUGGCCCGGGCCCUUGAUGGCUGGAUACACUCCUUAACUGACCAUACACACCCAUUUGGUGGGCAGGCCCAUUCCCUUUGCCACCCAGGCCCGCUCUUUUUGAUGACUGUCACGUCCCCUGUGACGACCUUCAUGCACCCUGCAUGUCUGCUUUCUUUUAUGUCAGUCUCUGUAAUGUAAGGUGGGCAGGGAAUGUUAUCAGAUAUGUAUGAUGCUCAAAAGGGUUAAUUCACUAAACUCAAAUUUAUAACAAAUUGAAAAUUAAUGGCAAAAUUCAGACUAAAAUAGCUCAUCUGUGACUUUAGCCGAGUUGGAGAAUUUUUCCAUGUCUGCUAAUUUUGCUUUAAUUUUACCAUUAGAUUAAAAAUUUUGAGUUUAGGAAAUAAACCCUAAAGUGUUACAAGAUAAUAUGGUGAGGCUGGCAAAUAUAAUAACAUCUGCAUGAAGGAACAAAGUAACAGCAAUAGAAGACUAUUACCUGACAGAGAAAUCAAAUGAUAGUAGUAUUAAGUAAGGUACAGCAGUAAUACUAAGCAAAAUUCUGUAUAUUUACUUUCAUAGACAUAAUAUCACAUCUUGUCACCAUUCCAAGUGGUUUGUAUUAAAGUUGUAUACGGUUUAUGCAAGUGCAUCACUGCAUUUUUGUGUCUCAGUUUUUUGGCUAAAGGCAUGCUAUUGUUUUCUGUAAGAUUGCAUUCUGUAUAUACGCUUUCAUGUAAAUAACUAAAAAUCUAUUUACAGAGUUUUAUUUUAAUUUGUAUUAAAAACCUUUUUCUACUUGAAAGAAAUGUAAACCACCCUGUUAAUAAAGUGAC